GCCAAGCGGUACAGUCCAGGGCUCCCUCCCGUAGCUUGUCUUUCCACAGGCACUAAAAAGCAGCCAGGUGGGCUCUCAAUCUCCUAUUCCCAUACUUGGGAAAUUAAGGUUCUGGUUUUUGCAACCACAUUCAUUAUGUAUUUCAGAAAUCAGGGAUAACAAAGGCAAGUUAUGACUUGAGGAAAUGGCACCAGGAUACAAAAUGCAUCAACAGCAACACCCACCGCUUCGCUGGAGAGAGGUCUGCCCACAUCCCUCAUCCUCCAGGACUCUCUUUCCCAGCACCCAGGAAUCCACCGCACUCUGGGCCCUGCCUGAGCCGGCACAGCCCUCAUCUCCCAUAUUCUUCUUUCCCAUUAGACUCGCCGGGACCACUCUGGAGGCCUCGGCUUUCCCUCUGGGAUGAUCAUUCCAUGGCUAAAAAGACACAGCGAUAAAGAUGAAAACGCUCUAAAGUUAAGUGUUGCUUUAAUCCUCCUAGGCCGCCCAGCACACCCUCCCCCAGCAGCCAAAGCGCUGCCCCUCUCUGCGUUUGGACGUGAAAAAGAAAUCCCUCCCCCACAUUCCUCCCGUGGGACAAAAAGCAGGGAUGGGAGGGAGGAUUCAUUUCAAAGAAAGAGUGAGAGAUGCAGCCCUGAACCGCUGUCACUUAAUCCGUGACGGCAUAAAGCAGGCUCUCUUCUGUUUACUGGACACUGAUCAGAGAUAGGACAACAGCCAGGGAAGAGGAAAUGGGAAUCGUGAGAACCAAACCAAGGGGCUUCUCUCCCAGGCUAAUAUUAUUAUGCCUCCCUUAUAUUAGUCGUGGGAGUGAUGAAAGCUGCGCUCCCGGCCUCAAAGUUCUCCUCAAGUCAAACCACUAAGCUCCUGCUGAUCCAGUUCCCACUGACUCAUGGGAGGACUGCCCUCAGAAAAGGAAACUCAAGCCCCCAGAACUUGGCACAAACUGAUAUGGUUUCUGGCUCCUUGACUGGACCCUGGCUGACACAGAAUGAAACACAAUCUUCGCAUCACAGUGAGAGGGACCCCAGAGAGGCCCAUGCCCCACUUCACUCCAGCAGGAGUCCAGACCUGUGA
rnacentral:lncRNA from 1 species